GCAUGUCUAUAACAUAGCGUUAAUUCAUCAGAUCCCAUUAGAAAUCUGAAGUUAAGUGUGAUCGGGAUAGAGUAGUACUGGGAUGGGUGACUGACCAGGAAGUCCUAGUAUUUUACAUGCC
rnacentral:rRNA from 1 species